UUAAGUGAUCGUGUGACAAGUGAUUUCGUAACGUGUGCUUUCAGAGAACGUUUAAAGGUCGUAUCCUUGCGCUAAAAGGGAAUAGAGGUUCAAGGACAGUGAGGGUUAAAAGCAAGUUUACAAGUUUACAGCCCCCAAAGAACCUUCCUAUUCAAAUCAAGUUCUUGAUACUCAAAUCCUAUGAGUGGUGAGUGUCAAAGAGCAAAACUCGAGCAUUGAGUCGAGUACAAAGUUUUCUAAGUUCAGAGAUAAUCAACCGAAAAG